rnacentral:rRNA from 1 species
UGCAAGUCGAGCGAGCGGAACCAACAGAUUUACUUCGGUAAUGACGUUGGGAAAGCGAGCGGCGGAUGGGUGAGUAACACGUGGGGAACCUGCCCCUAAGUCUGGGAUACCAUUUGGAAACAGGUGCUAAUACCGGAUAAUAAAGCAGAUCGCAUGAUCAGCUUUUGAAAGGCGGCGUAAGCUGUCGCUAAGGGACGGCCCCGCGGUGCAUUAGCUAGUUGGUAAGGUAACGGCUUACCAAGGCGACGAUGCAUAGCCGAGUUGAGAGACUGAUCGGCCACAUUGGGACUGAGACACGGCCCAAACUCCUACGGGAGGCAGCAGUAGGGAAUCUUCCACAAUGGACGCAAGUCUGAUGGAGCAACGCCGCGUGAGUGAAGAAGGUUUUCGGAUCGUAAAGCUCUGUUGUUGGUGAAGAAGGAUAGAGGUAGUAACUGGCCUUUAUUUGACGGUAAUCAACCAGAAAGUCACGGCUAACUAC